rnacentral:rRNA from 1 species
GAGUUCAAGAGUACGUGAAACCGUUCAGGGGUAAACGGGAGAAAUCCUGAAUUCGAAAGGGGCCGGAUUCAAGUCGAUCCGACAUGCACAGGAUGCAUGGCCCCACCAGAUGGCGCCGGUCGCCCGCGGCGAUUCAUUUCGUUUGCGGUGUCGUUCCCGACGAUCACUCGGUGGGGUUGCAUCGCUCUGGCUUCGGACGAGUGCACUUCCACCCUAGUAGAAACGUCGCGACCCGUUGGGUGCCGGUCAAAGGCCCGGGAUGGCAGCCCGUGCGUCACGUGGGGGUUCCCACGUGCGCGCGGACACCCGGUGUCCCGGCCGGCUGCCCGACGGUAUUACCAGAGGAGUCGAUCCGCUGAAAGUGAAACACUGUGGUUGUGUAGCGUCCGGCCCGGCGCCGACGCGUGCGGGGAUUGAGGUGCAAACCGGGGGUGUCCGUGCGGAGCACGGCCCCGGCCCCGCUGCGUCGUCGGAUUUGCCGGUGUCCUCGGACUGGAUCGAUACUCCCGUCUGCGACGCCCACCUUCGGAUGG